rnacentral:rRNA from 1 species
UACGGGGGGAGCAAGCGUUGUUCGGAUUUACUAGGCGUAAAGGGCGCGUAGGCGGUCAGCACAAGUCAGUUGUGAAAUCUCCGGGCUUAACUCGGAAAGGUCAACUGAUACUGUGCGACUAGAGUGCAGAAGGGGCAACUGGAAUUCUCGGUGUAGCGGUGAAAUGCGUAGAUAUCGAGAGGAACACCUGCGGCGAAGGCGGGUUGCUGGGCUGACACUGACGCUGAACUGCGAAAGCUAGGGGAGCGAACGGG